AUACAUGGCCGACGCAGGUCAAAGUGUAGUAUCUGUUCUCAUCAACUUAAUAUCUGAUACGGGUUGUAUUUGGACCCAAUACAUUAAACUUAUUUUUGCAAGUUGGAGGAGUACUUGAAGCCUGCUUCACCUUCGCCGUGGGUCGGCCUGGUAUUGCACUAUCUUCGGGAUUGGCCCACCGUUU